GUUGUAAGGUUAAGAAAUUAAGCGUACACGGUGGAUGCCUAGGCAAUCAGAGGCGAUGAAGGACGUGUUAAUCUGCGAAAAGCGACGGUGAGCCGAUAAAAGGCGCUAUAACCGUUGAUGUCCGAAUGGGGGAACCCAGUGCAGGUGACUGCACUAUCAUCUGAUGAAUACAUAGUCAGAUGAGGCGAACCGGGAGAACUGAAACAUCUAAGUACCCCGAGGAAAAGAAAUCAACCGAGAUUCCCAAAGUAGCGGCGAGCGAAAUGGGAGCAGCCCAAGCGGGUAGCAUAAUGUAUUAGUGGAAGCGUCUGGAAAGUCGCACGAUAGAGGGUGAAAGUCCCGUACAUGAAAGUAGAU
rnacentral:rRNA from 1 species